rnacentral:lncRNA from 1 species
GCACAUGUAAACAGUUGCUGAUAGUAAAAGUUGUUUAUCCGUGCUAUAUUACAAAAGUAGUGGUACUCCAGAUAGUAGAGGAAAUAAUAAAGAAGAAGAAGAAUACAAACCAUCCCAAAAUACUGACUUUAGUGACUGUUCAUUAUUUUGGAUACAGAGAGGAAAUGAUGGCACUCUAAAUUGAUGUGGACAGCAUUUUGUAGUCAUUGUGUUCAAAUAUUGCUGUCAUCUUUAUUAUACAAUCCGUCCUGACAUAGGAAUAUUACUUAUAUUACUGAUUUACGAUGAAGCCAUAUAUUUCGGGACUGUUUCUAGCCAACAAUACGGUAUGUUUUUUUUCACUUUUGAAGGCCGUACGGUUGCCUAUAAUUGCUUCAAUUCACUUCAUUUGAACGUUGGUGGAAAGUUGUCUCAUUGGCAAUCACACCAUAUCUCCGUAUUUUAUAUAGAGAAAAUAUUUGUUUUAUGACCACACAUAUCGGUUAUCCAAUAUAUAGGAGUACAUCUGAGCCGCUGCUUUCAAGUCUUGUGUCAGAACAAACUUUUAGUUUAACCCCAGUGUAAAGUGCUGUCUGUUAUGUUUGAUGAUCGCGUUAAUUUGUAGCAGAACUGUGUUCUAACAUUAGUAUACAUGUACAGUCUCUUAUUAAAACCGUAUAAAUGCAUAGUGAUUUUAUUGUUGUUACGAUGACUGAUAUCGGAGGAAUGCGUUUUAUUAUAUAAUCAAAAACUAUAUUUACCUGUAUUAUAGCAUGUAUGGGGCAAAUGAAAUGUUUUAUUUUGGCGCAAACGAAAUAUAGUUUCUGGCGCAAAUGAAAUGCCAAUUGGCGCAAAAUCAUAGGACCGCGUGAUAUACGUGUCACGACAGUCAAAAAGAAAUAAUAAUAAGCAAUUAACAAUCUUCUUGUAUUUUUUUUAUUAUACAUUAUCUGACAAAUUUCUUUUAUACUUCCAACUAAUCUUUUGUUUUAACGAUGACAAAUUCUAAUCUCCCAUUUUGGGUAUUCAAUUCUUUUUUUUUCAGUUUGUUUUAAGCAUUUAAGCAAGAUAUUAAAGAUCCAUAUUUUUUUUAUUUAGAUAAAGCACAUUUAUAUAUGAUAUAUAUUAUAGAAUUCGUCUAAACAACAGCCCAACAAUGUUAGAUCUGUAAAUUUGCGGAAGCCUUGCACUAUGCCCGGGAUUCAAACUCAUGCUAUUGAGAUAUCGUGGCACCAAAUCGCCUUGCACUAUGCCCGACGCGCUAGACCACUCAAUCACCUAGGCUCUAUAAAGUUUUCGGUGGCCGUGUGUUACCUUUCCUUGACAGUUUUUAUCUAGCGUCGUAACACAGUACAUGAUGUAUUAGGCAUGAAGAUAGAAUUGUUACAGAUCAGCUGAAUUAUCUUUUGUAAAGGAUCCUACAAAUUAAUGUAAGAUGCAGUCACAGAAAUAAUUAUAUUAUAAGUACGUCUGAACCAGUGACGACUCGACAACAAUUUUGUUUUCCAUCGGAUCACCAGCAGUGAUGUUGAUACAAGGCUGAAAAUACAUUAUGUGUAUUAUAUAAUUCGUCUAAACAACAGCCCAACAAUGUUAGGUCUGUAAAUUUGCGGAAGUAUAUAUAUAAUGCAUAUUCCAAGUGUAUAAUACAUAAAAACAUGACAAACAAUGUAAAUACAGCAUAAACCAUUUAAAAGUCAAUACAAC